GGCCUUCCAGUGCUUACCACAGGCUAACUCUUAACAUUUACUGUAUAGAUAAAGGAGACAACCCACCCCGCAUAAAUCUCAUCCCCAGCCAUUUGGCUGGCCUGUAUUGUGAAUGAGAAGACAUGU